rnacentral:miRNA from 1 species
AUGGUAGCUUGUGACAGGACUGGC